rnacentral:sRNA from 1 species
CAUUAUCAUACAACGGAGGCGCCGGGGCUGUCGCUGACCUUUGUCGUGCACGCCCGGAGUGCUCUCUAAAAUCCAUCUCACCCCUUUGUGCAUCACCGCGUGGGCCUCCCUUUUGACUUGUUCCNAAGAGGGGUUCGCGUUUCUUUCACACAAACACCCUUUUAAUGCAUGUAUAGAAUGUCUUACUUUUUGCGAUCACNCNCAAUCAAUACAACUUUCAACAACGGAUCUCUUGGCUCUCGCAUCGAUGAAGAACGCAGCGAAAUGCGAUACGUAAUGUGAAUUGCAGAAUUCAGUGAAUCAUCGAAUCUUUGAACGCACCUUGCGCCCCUUGGUAUUCCGAGGGGCACACCCGUUUGAGUGUCGUGAAUGCCCUCAACCUUCUUGGUUUCUUGACCGGGAAGGCUUGGACUUUGGAGGUUUUUGUUGCCGGCCUCUUUUGAAGUCGGCUCCUCCUAAAUGAAUCAGUGGGGUCCGCUUUGCCGAUCCUUGACGUGAUAAGUAUGUUUCUACGUCUUGGGUUUCGCACUGUCGCACCGGAACCUGCUUCCAACCGUCUUCUGAUGAAGACAACGUUAUGAACCUUGACCUCAAAUCGGGUGAGACUACCCGCUGAACUUAAGCAUAUCAAUAAGCGGAGGA